GAUCAAGUGUCUUAAGGGCAAUUGGUGGAUGCCUUGGCAUGCACAGGCGAUGAAGGACGUGAUACGCUGCGAUAAGCUACGGGGAGGUGCGAAUACCCUUUGAUCCGUAGAUUUCCGAAUGGGGAAACCCACCUAAGGUGCUUGGAAAAUCAGAGCAGCAGGGCAACUUGCUGCUGUGGUUUCCAAGUAUCUGUUAUAGGUAACUUAUCCUGAAUACAUAGGGAUAAAGUGGCGAACGCGGGGAACUGAAACAUCUAAGUACCCGUAGGAAAGGACAUCAACCGAGACUCCGGCAGUAGUGGCGAGCGAACCCGGACCAGGCCAGUGGCGAUGAUGAGACAAGCGGAACCUUCUGGAAAGUAGGGCCAUAGUGGGUGACAGCCCCGUACGCGUAAUGCAAGUCAUCGUCCUCGAGUAAGGCGGGACACGUGAAAUCCUGUCUGAAAUUGGGGGGACCACCCUCCAAGCCUAAGUACUCGUGCAUGACCGAUAGCGAACUAGUACCGUGAGGGAAAGGUGAAAAGCACCCCGACAAGGGGAGUGAAAGAGUACCUGAAACCGAUUGCCUACAAACAGUGGGAGUCCAAGGUUCGUCCUGGGUGACCACGUACCUUUUGUAUAAUGGGUCAGCGACUUAGUGUGACGAGCAAGCUUAAACCGCUAGGUGUAGGCGCAGCGAAAGCGAGUCUGAACAGGGCGUUCAGUUCGUCGCAUUAGACCCGAAACCGAGUGAUCUAGCCAUGAGCAGGUUGAAGGUAAGGUAACACUUACUGGAGGACCGAACCCAUAACUGUUGCAAUAGUUCGGGAUGACUUGUGGCUAGGGGUGAAAGGCCAAUCAAACUCGGAAAUAGCUGGUUCUCCGCGAAAUCUAUUUAGGUAGAGCGUCGACCGAAUACCCCAGGGGGUAGAGCACUGGAUGGGCUAGGGGUCCUCACCGGAUUACCAAACCUAACCAAACUCCGAAUACCUGGGAGUACUAGUCGGCAGACACACGGCGGGUGCUAACGUCCGUCGUGAAAAGGGAAACAACCCUGACCUACAGCUAAGGUCCCCAAGUUAUGGCUAAGUGGGAAAGGAUGUGAGGAUCCCAAAACAACCAGGAUGUUGGCUUAGAAGCAGCCAUCAUUUAAAGAAAGCGUAACAGCUCACUGGUCUAAAUAAGGGUCUUUGCGCCGAAAAUGUAACGGGGCUCAAGCCAUACACCGAAGCUUAGGGUUCGUGAGCAAUCACGAGCGGUAGCGGAGCGUUCUGUAAGCUGAUGAAGCCAUACCCGUGAGGGGUGGUGGAGGUAUCAGAAGUGCGAAUGCUGACAUGAGUAACGUAAGGGGAGUGAGAGACUCCCCCGCCGAAAGUCCAAGGGUUCCUGCUUAAAGCUAAUCUGAGCAGGGUUAGCCGGCCCCUAAGUCGAGGCAGAAAUGCGUAGACGAUGGGAACCACGUUAAUAUUCGUGGGCCUGGAGGAAGUGACGGAUCAUUGAGGUAGUCCAAUCUUAUCGGAUUGAAAGGGCUGCUGCGUGGUUCCAGGAAAUAGCUCCUCCUUAUAGACCGUACCCGAAACCGACACUGGUGGACUGGUAGAGUAUACCAAGGCGCUUGAGAGAACUAUGCUGAAGGAACUCGGCAAAUUGCACGCGUAACUUCGGAAGAAGCGUGACCCUUUUCCACGCAAGUGGAGGAGGGUGGCACAGACCAGGGGGUAGCGACUGUUUAUCAAAAACACAGGGCUCUGCGAAGUCGCAAGACGACGUAUAGGGUCUGACGCCUGCCCGGUGCUGGAAGGUUAAGAGGAGGGGUGCAAGCUCUGAAUCGAAGCCCCAGUAAACGGCGGCCGUAACUAUAACGGUCCUAAGGUAGCGAAAUUCCUUGUCGGGUAAGUUCCGACCUGCACGAAUGGCGUAACGACUUCCCCGCUGUCUCCAGCAUAGACUCAGUGAAAUUGAAUUCCCCGUGAAGAUGCGGGGUUCCUGCGGUUAGACGGAAAGACCCCGUGCACCUUUACUAUAGCUUUACAUUGGCAUUCGUAGUGGCAUGUGUAGGAUAGGUGGUAGGCUUUGAAACCUGGGCGCCAGCUCAGGUGGAGCCACCCUUGAAAUACCACCCUUAUCACUAUGGAUGUCUAACCGCGGCCCGUUAUCCGGGUCCGGGACAAUGUAUGGUGGGUAGUUUGACUGGGGCGGUCGCCUCCUAAAGAGUAACGGAGGCGCGCGAUGGUGGGCUCAGAACGGUCGGAAAUCGUUCGCUGAGUGCAAUGGCAUAAGCCUGCCUGACUGCGAGACUGACAAGUCGAGCAGAGACGAAAGUCGGUCAUAGUGAUCCGGUGGUCCCGCGUGGAAGGGCCAUCGCUCAACGGAUAAAAGGUACGCCGGGGAUAACAGGCUGAUGACCCCCAAGAGUCCAUAUCGACGGGGUUGUUUGGCACCUCGAUGUCGACUCAUCGCAUCCUGGGGCUGGAGCAGGUCCCAAGGGUAUGGCUGUUCGCCAUUUAAAGCGGUACGUGAGUUGGGUUCAGAACGUCGUGAGACAGUUCGGUCCCUAUCUGCCGUGGGUGUAGGAAUAUUGAAAGGAUCUGUCCCUAGUACGAGAGGACCGGGAUGGACGGAUCUCUGGUGGACCUGUUGUGGCGCCAGCCGCAUAGCAGGGUAGCUAUAUCCGGACGGGAUAACCGCUGAAGGCAUCUAAGCGGGAAACCCACCUUAAAACGAGUAUUCCCUGAGAACCGUGGAAGACGACCACGUUGAUAGGCCGGGUGUGGAAGAGCGGCAACGCUUGAAGCUUACCGGUACUAAUAGUUCGAUCGGCUUGAUCGUUCUCAUU
rnacentral:rRNA from 1 species